CGGCCGCAAGGUUGAAACUCAAAGGAAUUGACGGGGGACCCGCACAAGCGGUGGAUGAUGUGGUUUAAUUCGAUGCAACGCGAAAAACCUUACCCACCUUUGACAUGUACGGAAGUCGCUAGAGAUAGCUUCGUGCUCGAAAGAGAACCGUAACACAGGUGCUGCAUGGCUGUCGUCAGCUCGUGUCGUGAGAUGUUGGGUUAAGUCCCGCAACGAGCGCAACCCUUGUCAUUAGUUGCUACAUUCAGUUGGGCACUCUAAUGAGACUGCCGGUGACAAACCGGAGGAAGGUGGGGAUGACGUCAAGUCCUCAUGGCCCUUAUAGGUGGGGCUACACACGUCAUACAAUGGCUGGUACAAAGGGUUGCCAACCCGCGAGGGGGAGCUAAUCCCAUAAAACCAGUCGUAGUCCGGAUCGCAGUCUGCAACUCGACUGCGUGAAGUCGGAAUCGCUAGUAAUCGUGGAUCAGAAUGUCACGGUGAAUACGUUCCCGGGUCUUGUACACACCGCCCGUCACACCAUGGGAGCGGGUCUCGCCAGAAGUAGUUAGCCUAACCGCAAGGAGGGCGAUUACCACGGCGGGGUUCGUGACUGGGGUG
rnacentral:rRNA from 1 species